rnacentral:rRNA from 1 species
AUGGUAUCCUUCAAUCCCAAGAGCGCAGCUGAGUUAGAAGAACUGAUCAAGGCUCACGGCGAGAAGAGUGAUGUCACCGUCCAUGUCCCCAAGAAGAUCGCCGUUCUGCUUGAAGGCAAGCAGAUGCUUGACCUCCUCGAGGACAAGAUGGAGACAAACGGAUGGGUCGUGAGCCGCUACGACAAGCUGAAGAAGGUUGUCCACAUCCACAACGCCCUGCUCAAGACGGACGGCCUCCUCAGCGAGGCAAUCUCCCUCACCGACGCCGCCAAGAUCAAGCCCGCCCGCUACGCUCGCCAUCACGUUGGGUCGCCCGUUCGAGUCGGCAAGUUCUCCCCGACCGGCCGCCACCACCGUCGCCGUACUCGGCGUCGCCACAAGCUUCCUCGGAUCGUGCCCGCCAAGAUCGCGGGCGACCUCGUCGACACCGGCAACGUCCUGCAGCGGUUCCCUCUUCUACAAGUGCAACAUCUGGGCAGAUCGGUCGCCGCAGCCGGGAUGGGGCUGCUUCGCCAGAAGGAGGACAUGUCCGUGCUCCAUGCCCAACUCCUGAAGGUGGAGGAGGACUCGGUGAUGUGUGGGUCAGUGAGUUCAAGCCUGAUGAGCUGUAGAAUACCGCUAGGAGGCAUCGUAUAA